AUGGGAAAGCCAAUAAAGCCAUGGGGCUGGGGUGAAUUUGGUGUUGCCUUAAAGGCACCACGAAAAAAGAAAAAAGCCACCCUAGAUGGCUGGCCCACCAGGAAGGAGCUGCCUUUGGGGUGUUCUCAAAGGGUGGGAGCCCGGGGUAUGAAAAAGCAAGAAAAAGAAGCCAUGUGUGGACUUGGACUUGCCACCAGCUGGUCUGUGGACCCACGUCCCCCCCCAGCAGUGGGGCCAUCCGUGGUACCAGCUGCCAGGGAAGGUGUGAGUUGGCUCCAGCGUGGGGAGGACAUUCCAGGGGGAAUUAGUAGUAGCAGAGGGGACAGCACAUGGGACGUGGGCAUGAGCAGGAAUUUGUCCAUCUGUGUUACGGAAAUAAAACAAAACAAAAUAUUGAUUGAUUGUAAAUGUAUGCCUAGCUGUGGGAGAGAAUUAAAUAAACGUAACUAUUUUUGGCUCGAUGUGCAUUUCUUUGUGAGUGAUUUGCCUCGUUAGUGCUGGAAUGUGAAAGAAAUUGUGGAUACUCCUACAGGUGCCUCUCAGUUGGAGUCAGAAGUGGGAUUCCUGUGGGAUAAUCGUGUCUCCUCUCCUGAGUAUGAUGGUGAGAGGUGCAGAAACCCACCUCAGACCCAUGUUACUUGCUGCUCGGGCUGGGCUAGGAGCAGGUGAUAAAAAGUUUUGGGGCCAGAUAAACCUUUAUAUUAAACAUUAAGGGCUGAAAACCCAGAGUGGUUAAUGGUGUGAACCCCAGGUCUGCUGCCAGGGGGUGGGUGUUCCUCUGCAGAGGAGCAACGCGGAUGGCAUCAGCAGCUUCUGUGAAGCUUAAAUAAAGGGCUAAAUGUGCCUAAAUAAAGGGUUAAA
rnacentral:lncRNA from 1 species